rnacentral:lncRNA from 1 species
AGGGCAUGGGAGGGGCAGCUAGCGAUCAAGCUGCGACGGAGCUGGGCCCCGCGUCCUAGACUCCGACCUUGAGCCUGGACAGCCCCCUAGGGUAACCUUCCUCGAGUCCCGGAAUGGGCUUUCGACUUGUCUGUGAAAGGGUGUUAUGCGUACGUGUGUGUGUCUGUCCGCCUGGUGGCCUCAGGUUCUCCAAGGGAUCUGGAACACCCCAAACGUGAACACCGCCCGUCAAUGCAGCCCCUUCGUGUCGCAGAUGAGGGAACUGAGACUGGAGAGGGACUCACUGGGCCCCACAACUGGUUAACUGCCAUCCAGGGCAAAUUACCUUUUCUUCUGAAAAGGGCCAGACCCCCCCGCCCCCCGCCCCCCAGGAUACCUGAUCCCCUUCUCCAGAGAUGGAUUCUUCUUUGCUCCUCAGUGAGCAUGAAUGUCCCAUAGCACCAAGUCGAGGGAGAGUAACUCACAGAGGCUGAGUUAAAUGUCUGUCAGGUGUCUGAUUCCAGAUUCCUGGGUGAGAACAUCUAUUGAUCUGGCUUGAGCCAGGGGAUCACUGCUGGUCCAAUCAGCCAUGGCCAGGAGUCAGCGCCGUGGAGGAGAAACAUGGCUGCCUGAGACCCAGAGUUUGGCUCUGGGGGAAGGUUCCAAGUGCUGGGCAGACACCCAAGGAUUUACCACCUCCUUCCAAGUGUAAGAUGGGGUAAAUGAUGCCUGAGGUCAUGAAGCUAAUACCAGGCAGAGCUGGGAUGAUCAUAGUUCAAGCCAUAUCAGAACCAGGAAAAGACCAUUAAGUUUAGCAGUUAUUGGUUCAGCGGUGACUGUCCAUAGCGGCAAGCGGCCUAACCAGCCCAGAACGGAUGGCGUCCAGACUGCAAGGGUCUGUGAUCGUCUGACGGCGGUGAUGAUGAAGAGUAAAUGCAGGUGUAAUUGAUCACUUCUCAGCCUCUCCCAACACCCUGCUAAAUAUCAGAGUAACCUUUAAAGAAGGCAAGAGGCCAUCAAUUAAAUAAACAGGUGCCUUGAUGGAGAAAAAGACAUGUAAACACGGGCACCAUCGCAUAAUUUACUGAAGGUACAUCAGCCUAUUCCUUCAAUGGGCUGGUCUCCUGCACGAAAGACAAAGGAGGAAAUCCAUCACAACAGUGGGAGGACUCUUGCGGGAACGGCUUCGCCACAAAACAGAUUACAGAAAAAGGUUGGACCUCUUCUUAUUCCUAGGGUUACCUUUUUUGUAAAAAAACAAGAGAUGGCCUAUGAGUUUGUCUGGAAUGAUUUAUGCAAUGCCUUCGCAGAUGACCUCUGGCAGGUCAGGCCACGUUUUAAUGCUAGGAUGGAGGAGUUGUGAUUUGGGCCUGCACAUUCACACGCAUGGAUUAAACCCUCCACACAGGUUACUUAAUCCGGAUAGGAAAACGCACUGAACCGUGGUUC